rnacentral:misc_RNA from 1 species
UUGAGCUUGGGUUCGCUUCAGUCGCACCUUUGCCCCAGCCGUGUAGUGACCGCGUUGCGUUAUCUCAUCAAACGGCGUUCGACGUGUAUCAGUUUAUUCUAGUGGUUUACUCGAGGCAUCGGCCUACACGACGUCAUCCCGAAGGAAAAUGGGGGAGAGACGUGGAACGAAAGCUCUGGAGAUGUGGUGCAAGAGGGUGACACAAGGGUACCCGGGGGUCAAGGUGGAGAACAUGACCACCUCUUGGAGGGACGGAAUGGCCUUCUGCGCCAUGAUCCACCACUUCAGGCCAGAUCUCAUUGAUUUCUCCAGUUUGGACAAAUCCGACAUCCUGAAAAAUAACGAGAUGGCGUUCAGGAUAGCAGAGAGGCACCUAGGCAUUCCAGCUUUACUAGAUGCAGAGGACAUGGCAGAGUACCCCGUACCUGACAGGCUGUCUAUCCUCACGUACCUUUCUCAGUUCUACCAAGCAUUCGCUUCUAACAAUGCAUCGCCAAUUAAAAAACAAUCGUCAGAAUCACCCGAUACUUCUUUGACGUCACUGACUCAAAGCAACGUACAGCAUGCCCCAAAAAUGGAAGGAACGCCACCGUGGAAGGAGCCUUGUGUCAUUUGUGACCACGCUGUAUUUUUAGCACAGAGACUCCGUGUAGAAGGGAAAUUGUACCAUAGAACAUGUUUUCGUUGCGCACGUUGUAAUGCACAAUUGAGCACCGCCGACUAUUACGAAACCCACGACGGUCAGUACUGCUGCGAGACUUGUCCGGAUGAAGACAUGGAACACUCCGCAGAGCCGCCGAUCGUCAUUCCAAGCAUCCGAGAAGAAGAACAGAUCGAGCAGGUCAUAAAUCUUACAAGGCCCCAGUCUAUCGAACCGACUCCUUCCCAAAAAUCUUCAUUAGUCGCUAUGAGGAAAAUGUUGUUUGAUUCCUACAAUAAAGACACCGACGACGCCAAGUUGAACCGGUGUGAGAACAAAACCACAGAUGAUGUAAAUAGCAUAGAAGAUAGUAAGAAUGAUCUCUCUAAUAACGAUGAUUCUAGUUCACAAAAUCAGUUCAGAAAAAAUAGUGAAGAAAGUGUACAUACAAACGUAGAUUGUAAGAAUGAAGAUUCUCCAUUGUGUGUUGAAUUAAAUCAUACCGAUAGUAAGGUUAACGAUAGGAAUAGUUUAGAUAACAAUGUGAAUAUUUUGGUAGAUAAAGUUAUAUGUUCAGACGUAGAAAUCGAUUCGGAUAAAGUAGUCACCGAAUCUGAUGAUAAGGUAGAUUUAAAAGAAACUUUAGAAGAUAAACCCACUUCUUUAGGUGAUAACAAGUCAUUGACUGUACAUACUGAUGAUUUAAAAAUCAAAAGCGACGAUACAGAAACACAAGAAAACCAUAAAAUUAUUGAGGCGAUAAAUGUAUCCAUAAACGUCGAGGAAAAUGUAAGCUCAUUCACUUCGAAAUCACCGACAGUGGAAAUAGUGAAAGAGCCGGCUGAAGAUAAAUUGAGAGGAAAAGAAUCUGAUUAUCCGAGCGGUUUCAAUCCGUUCGGAGACGAUGAGGAUGAAGAAGAAAAAUCAGUUGAAAAUUCAAAGACGAGUACAAACCCGUUUGACUCUGACACUGAAGAUGAAGAAAUUAAAUCAAAAUCUCCAGAAAAACUGGCCGAAGCCAUUUCACCAAUCCACAAAGCAUCAUCUCAAAACCCGUUUGGGUCAGAUGAAGAAGACGAUACCCAAAUUCCAGUGCCAUUGCCAAGAAGAAAUACUCACUCUUCGCCAGUGCCAUUUCCUAGAACUAAAUGGAGAGGAAGUCAGAGAUCUUUAUGUUCUAUGUCUUCUAUGGGAUCUCAUACUUCACCGAGGAAGAAGAGGCCUGCACCUCCACCUCCUGUAUCGCCCAGUAUUUCAUUAACUAGUCCUAGGUCGAGGAAAACCAAAAGAGCUCCUUUGCCUCCUAGUUUAGGUUCAUCGAGACUCUCGCUGUCUACAGAAGUUUCUUCUAAGGCAUCCGAAGAUUCACAAUCCAUUUUAAGCAGCGAUCAAAACUCAGUCAAAGGAAUCCAGGAUGACGAGAUCACCACAGAAAUUUCCAACAUCGCCGAGAAGAUAUCGGCUAUGGCAGACGCACAAAAUAAAGAAAACGAAGAGAGUAAAAGAAAAUCCACAGAUGAGCCUUUGGAAUCGGGCGAUAUGAAAUGUACAUUAGAUGAAUCUGUGACAUCUGAGGUCGAAGAAAAUACGGCGUUCGACUCGAAGAAAAUUAUUAUACCACAAACACCUCCUCCCAAACCCAGAAGACUAGAAAUAUCUUCUAACGAGGUAACAUUGAGCAGCAUAUCGCCCACUCCUUCAGCAUCAACGUCUAACGUCGACAGCCUGACUUAUCAAGAAGACAUUAAUUCCCCAACAGAAAAACAAAGUAAAGACUUUGCCAACUUACAUCAGAAGAUAUCAGAAGAGAGAGGGGCAACAUUCACAACGCCUAAUAAAAGCACGCAUGGUCAGUGGCGAAGGAAGAAAGCACCAGCGCCGCCUCUGCCCCUGCCAAAGAGGCGGACGGUCAAACCGAUGCCCAUUCAAAACAUAAAGCAAGAGCUGAAAGACAUUGAAAUAAAACAGCAAGGUCUUGAAAGACAAGGAGUAGCUCUCGAAAACAAAAUCAGGGAUAAGUUUGACACAGAAGAAAGUAUAUCUCCUUACGUGGAAGAAUUAGUCCUCCAGCUGUUCGAACUAGUCAAUGAAAAGAACGAAUUGUUUAGGAAACAAGCCGAGUUGAUGUAUUUGAGGCGUCAGCAUAACCUAGAAGAAGAGCACGCCGAGCUAGAAUAUCAAAUCAGGUGCCUUAUGGCGAGGCCUGAAGUCAACAAAACUGAUUCGGACAAAGAAACCGAAGAACAAUUAAUUCAGAGGCUAGUCGAAGUGGUAGAAAGGAGGGAUGCGAUCGUUCAGUGUCUAGAAAUGGACAGACUGCGCGAAGCCGAAGAGGAUAAAAGCAUCAGCUUAUCCCUAGGUAUAUUCACUCAAAGUUUAAUUGCUCCUCUUUAAGCAUGUGUAUUAACCGUUUAUGACGUCAUAAAAUGGCAAUUAUAAUUCAUCGACAAUAUGAGAUAUCGGCCAAGAGGUCCAAUCGAAGCCGAUUAAAAAGCAGAAAAA